ACAGAGAAAAAAGGGAUCAAGUUCCACCAUUAUGCAAAAGGGACUCCUGUAAGCCAGACCCUGAGCCGUUGUCAAAACACAGCUUAAUCCCCAUUCCCUGGGCCCGAGACCCUGCAGCCCCCACGCUGCCCGGCUUCCGGUCUUACCUGGGGCAACCUGACCAACAAGAACGCGGAAGGCCAGGAGCCAAAAACAGAGACUCCUGAUGGGUAACAGAAGGAAAAGGCAGGACAUCCCAGUGCUAAGGAGAGUGACCUCAGACACCAGAGACACAGCAAGUGCAGCAGAGCUGACGGCUCUGGGAACACUGGUCUUCAAAGUCUUCCCCGUUGUUGGUUUUGUUGUCUUUAUUUACAAAUAAAGUAAAUAUUUCUUAUUUA
ensembl:lncRNA GS1-24F4.2 uncharacterized LOC100652791